rnacentral:sRNA from 1 species
UUUGGUUGGGUGUUGAGUUUGUUUCCUGUUCUUCCUCUUCAGCCCCGGGGACGUUGCUCAUUUCUGGUGACCUUCUCCUCCAAGUGUCCUUGCUGCCCCAGGAUGGGAGGAUGGAAGGAGACGUUCUCUUCCAGAUGGCUGAAGUCCACAGGCAGAUCCAGAAUCAGCUGGAAGAAAUGCUGAAGUCUUUUCACAACGAGCUGCUCACACAGCUGGAGCAGAAGGUGGAGCUGGACUCCAGGUAUCUGAGUGCUGCGCUGAAGAAAUACCAGACUGAGCAAAGGAGCAAAGGCGACGCCCUGGACAAGUGUCAGGCUGAGCUGAAGAAGCUUCGGAAGAAGAGCCAGGGCAGCAAGAAUCCUCAGAAGUACUCGGACAAGGAGCUGCAGUACAUCGACGCCAUCAGCAACAAGCAGGGCGAGCUGGAGAAUUACGUGUCCGACGGCUACAAGACCGCACUGACAGAGGAGCGCAGGCGCUUCUGCUUCCUGGUGGAGAAGCAGUGCGCCGUGGCCAAGAACUCCGCGGCCUACCACUCCAAG